rnacentral:rRNA from 1 species
CCUACGGGAGGCAGCAGUAAGGAAUAUUGGUCAAUGGGCGCAAGCCUGAACCAGCCAUGCCGCGUGCAGGAAGACGGCCCUAUGGGUUGUAAACUGCUUUUGAACAAGAGAAAACCUCGGUACGUGUACCGAGCUGAUAGUAUUGUUAGAAUAAGCAUCGGCUAACUUCGUGCCAGCAGCCGCGGUAAGACGAAGGAUGCAAGCGUUAUCCGGAUUCAUUGGGUUUAAAGGGUGCGUAGGCGGCCUGAUAAGUCAGUGGUGAAAUCUCUCAGCUUAACUGAGAAACUGCCAUUGAUACUGUCGGGCUUGAGUACAGAUGAUGUGGGCGGAAUAUGACAUGUAGUGGUGAAAUACUUAGAUAUGUCAUAGAACACCGAUUGCGAAGGCAGCUCACAAAACUGUAACUGACGCUGAGGCACGAAAGUGCGGGGAUCAAACAGGAUUAGAUACCCUGGUAGUCCGCACCGUAAACGAUGAUUACUCGUUGUUGGCAAUAUGACCGUCAGCGACCGACGACGAAGACGAGUAAGUAAGUACCACCCGUACGGGAGGUACGGACCCGGCCGAACCGGUACGUAAACGUUAAAACGUUAAGUAAGUUAGUACGGACGUUAGGAGACGUUAGGCCGACGGACGACGACGAGGGGAGGUUAGGGAG